CCUACGGGAGGCAGCAGUGAGGAAUAUUGGACAAUGGACGCAAGCCUGAACCAGCCAUGCCGCGUGCAGGAAGACGGCCCUAGGAGUGGUAAACUGCUUCUGUACGGGGGUAAAUGAAGAUACGCGUAUCUGUCUGAAAGUAUCGUACGAAUAAGGAACGCCUAACUCCGUGCCAGCAGCCGCGGUAAUACGGAGGGUUCAAGCGUUAUCCGGAUUUACUGGGUUUGAAGGGUGCGUAGGCGGUCGGAUAAGUUAGAGGUGAAAUCCCGGGGCUCAACUUAGGAAUUGCCUUUGAUACUGUUCGGCUAGAGAGUAGUAGCGGUAGGUGGAAUGUAUGGUGUAGCGGUGAAAUGCUUAGAGAUCAUGCAGAACACCGAUUGCGAAGGCAGCUUACUAGGCUACUACUGACGUUGAGGCGCGAAAGCGUGGGGAGCAAACAGGAUUAGAUACCCGAGUAGUC
rnacentral:rRNA from 1 species